GUGCUAUUCGGAGGGUUAACUGGGGACUCUAGCUCACUGUUAACACGGGCCUCGCUGGACAAAGGGCAGACGUGAAUUUAAGUCACUGUGUAGUCUGAGUCCUCUUUCCCGCCUCAGCACCAUCUCCCUAUUACCUUGGAGGCAGGCAGGCGCGCUUCUGGACGCCAGACAGAAGAGAAGUAGACUACCUCCUGCCCCGGAUCUGAGGAGGUUUGAAAGAGCAGAGGAUAUCCGAAGGUGAGGGCGAACACCAAAGCAGCCUGCAGCAGGCACAAGACCCUCCUAGGCUGAUGGCUGGGCUGUCCUGACAUGCUUACCUGGAGGACGACGACUGUCUCCAUCACAGGUGUGAGACGUGCAUCACAGUCGGAAGGCUCUCUCCAUCUCCUCCUGCUCCUUCUCCCUUUAUCUUUCACAGGUAUUUCCUCAAUAAAGCUCUUGUAUGUCUAAGCUUGUCUUGGCAUUUGCUUCUAGGAGGGCCUGAACUGAUAAUAGGGUCAGGGUAC